GCUUAGAUCCAGGCAAGGGAAGACAGAACCGUCUUUAACCAGAGAAGCAGAAACAGUUGUAGCACAGCUCAUAGAGAAAGUGUUGGAGCAUGGAGUAAAUUCAACUGCCUGGGUAGCGCGCCAGCUGGAGGAAGGCAGCAAUUGGAUAACUGGAUUUGUGUCAGGAAAAUGAGAGAGAGGAGGAAGGGAGUGAGAGAGACAGACAGAGGGAGGGAGAGAAAGAGAGAUUGAGCUUUCUUCUUCCUCCCUUCUAUUUGGCCUUGGAAUACCCUGCAGACAAAGAUGGACUUCCUUUAGCCGUGUCCUCUGGCCCAGGCUACCAUCACCCCCCAAAGCCCUGAGCUUGAAACUGGGGUCAAGGAAGCCUUCCACAUGAUCAAUCAGUUACCCAACCUCUUUCCCUGUUGUGGCUCUGCCCUCCUCUGGGGUCUUGGAGUUCUCACCAUAAACAGCAAUUGUCGCCACAAAUGAAGAAUGUUCACGUUUGUUUUACAACUUCUUAAUGCACCGCAUUCAGUCUUCCUGUAAACUUGACUGCUUAGUCCUUAAAGUAUAUUGGUGGAGCAAUGUCUGCAUGCCUUCGUCAACACAUCUAUUGGCCUGUUUGUCCCAGCAUCCCAGUUGGAAUGGGAACCCUUCUAAGAAAAGCCUUUAUCCUUUACUCACCUACAAACUCACUGGGCACCCCCGGAAUUGUGGUCCUGGGCGUAUAGCAGGUGUCUAGUCACUCUUUUCUGGUUGUGCCAGUAAUUGGGGCCUGAUUACAAUUCUGUUUCAUCCAGUGCACCUCAAUGGAGAGAAACCAGCAAGAAACUCAUGCUUUCUGCCCCAUCUCCUUCCUUUCUUCUGUGUGUAAAGUGGAGAAAAGGCUGGAGAGUGUGGUAAGAUAGGAAGAAACCAAGCAAAGCACACAUAAACAAACAAAUGAAUAA
rnacentral:lncRNA from 1 species